UGACCUAUGCACCAACCCUUUGUGGA
rnacentral:piRNA from 1 species